GUAUAUGGCCAUACCACCCUGAAUGCGCCCGAUCUCGUCUGAUCUCAGAAGCUGACCAGGGUCGGGCCUGGUUAGUACUUGGAUGGGAGAUUAAAGUCAACAAAAAAAUUUCAUUGGAGAUGGAAAUGGUAUGUGUC
rfam:Cavia porcellus supercont2_3 genomic scaffold, whole genome shotgun sequence.